rnacentral:snoRNA from 1 species
GCAUGGACGAAUUCUGCACUAGCUUUCCUUGGUAGCUAAUGCAGUCAGACACUAUGCCAGAAUAAAUUCCUCCUUCACACUGAUGGGUGUGCUGUUCAUGUGAGAACAGGCGUGCCUGUGGAAGUGGGAUACAGAG